ACCUGGGUGGCUCAGUCGGUUGAGCUUCUGACUUCAGCUCAGGUCAUGAUCUCCAGGUU
rnacentral:tRNA from 1 species